CAAAUUAACAUGAACCUCUCUCUCUCUCUCCCUCUCUUUGAAGACCCGAUUUUAACCCCUAUCCGACCCGUUUCUCUGCAACAUCACCCGGUCUCCGUUACAUGAUGCCCUAGUUCUUGGGGGCAUCAUCAUCUGUACAGUUCCUUUUGAUUUCAACAUUUUGGGACCAUUCCAUUUUGGGGCCCAUUUCGUUGAUUCUUCAAUAUCAGAAACAAUAGCUGGGCGCCUCUACUACUGAAAGUCUUUGAAAUUUUCCGGACCCUAAUUCGUUAUGCCCAAUUGUUAAAGCUCCGAUUUUUUGGUAAAAGAGUUGAUUGGGAUGAAACGGGUUCAAAUGAAGCAAAGUGGGUAUUGAAUAUUCAUAUAGUUGACCCGAAUUAGCUUUAAAUGGAUCCCUCUUUGUUGAUUUUAACGUUGGGUUUCUGUCUUUGUUUCCUUAUUCUUGCCGUACAAUCAAGUCCUCCGCCUCCUCCUCCACCGUCUCACCAAUCUCCACCGCCGCCGCCGCCUUCUCCUUUAUCACCACGGCCUCCUCCACCACCCCACCAAAGUCGCCGUCCUCCACCACCUCCAAAAAAGACUACCUCCGACAGUAAAAACUCUAACCACGGUAAAAACCACCACCAUAAAUCUAACGGGAAAUUGCCUCCACCUAUAGGGCAAAAAAAGUUAAAUUUGGGGAAGAAAUUGGGGUUAAUGUUUGCGGGUGUUGCUGUGAUAUUGCAAGUGUGUGUGCUGGCGUUCUUGAUAAUCAAGAGAAGGCAGUUGUUAAAGGCUCAUAGUAGUAGAUUUUGAAGGGAUAUUUGUAUAUGAUGUGUAUAUCAGCUCCCAUUCUCUUUUAGUAUAUGAUUCUCUUUUGGCGGCGGAGCAUGUUAAUUGCAGUUAGCCUUAUUGAUUCCGAUUUUUAACAUGGCAUUAAACGGAGUAAAAGGAUUAAGGAUUCAGCUGAAAUGUUGGUUUCUGCAUUUGCAUUGGUCUGCUCCUGUAAAUUGGUCUCAAAUGAAAGGAUUAAGAUGAUAUAUUGCCUCCUUUGUCGAUUGUUGUUGUCAAUUUUAAGGAAUUGGCGCGGAUUUGUUUUGGAGAACAUAAUGUUGUCUGGUGAGAAAAGAAUGCUGUAGGGAAACGAGCAUACUGUUGAUGGAGGCAUGACCGGUCAUCAACAAAGGUGAAAUAUGAUUUCUAAUGUAUAGGUUAAACACCACAAAACACUUUAAUUGUUGGUAUAAUCUAACUGUUGUACAUGAUAUGAAAACUUAAACACGGGCAAAAUGUAAUCUCUAUCUUAAUAUGCUUUAAUGUGUUAUAACAUAUAGACCUAAAAACAGAUAACAUGGAAUGUGCAAAAACAUGAAUUGCUAGCUAGGACCACAAAAAAGAUGUUCUCUUUAGUCUGAAAAAUGUUUCUAUUUGAUAUGAUACAUAUUUUAUA